rnacentral:rRNA from 1 species
UACGUAGGGGGCAAGCGUUGUCCGGAUUUAUUGGGCGUAAAGAGCGUGUAGGCGGCCAGGUAGGUGGGUUGUGAAAACUGGAGGCUCAACCUUCAGACGUCGACCCAAACCCCCUGGCUAGAGUCCGGAAGAGGAGAGUGGAAUUCCUGGUGUAGCGGUGAAAUGCGCAGAUAUCAGGAAGAACACCCGUGGCGGAAGGCG